UAGCUUGAACCGAGACCCUCUCUCUGCUUCUUCUUCUUCUUCUUCUUCUUAAUUUUUCCUGAUUUUGUUCAUGGGCUCCAAUUUCAACAUAGACAGAUUUUGUGUUUUCAUGUGCUUCCUUGUGUACGUGGUUGCAAGCGGGGUGAUUGCGCGUAUUCAACUGAUUAAAUUCGGUUUGUUUUUGUUGUAGAGUUGCUGCGGAGCAGCACCCUUUUUCCGUUCCAAAGACUGUAAUAGCCUUCCGUUUUACUCUUUCCCGACAACGGUUGAAGCACGGUUGGGCAGAUCAGCCUAGAGCGGUAACUUGCAAGCUCCUUGGUAUUGCGGUUGUUGGCGAUGCCGUUGGUGUCAAAAGAAUUCAUUUCUCUUUUUUUCCUAACCCUGGACUGUGUUGAGGAGCUCCACCUGGUUGCAGCGUUGACUUUAUGCAUGGACCGACUUUCUCCAACAUUUUUUCCUUCCUCGUUGAAGAGCUGCAUUGCAGCAUUGUUCUAAUUUUUUUGCGGUUUAAUCUGCCUUCUUUCGGAUGAGAUGUUCUUGAAUCCGUGAAUCUGUCUCUCUUGUUCCAAUGCGCCUUGUGGUUGGGUGGAGUUGAGAUACUCAGUCGGAAGUCCGCACCCUUCCGUGAUUCUUCUUUCCCUGGACCUUUGGUUGUGAUAGCUUCCGGUGAGAGGAUUGGUUUCAAAAUCCUAGAGGAAGUUCGCGGAGGCAAUUUCAAGCGUAGGCAGUCACUGGCCAAAGGUUGAAGUUGGCUCCAGCAAGCUCGGCGGUUGCCAAAUGUGGGCAUAGCAUUUUCACAGCAGAUACAGGUUUUUUUGGAAGUGCUCGAUGGAGGUUGGUGCCGCUCUUUAAUGUUGCAAGCCUGAAGGCUUAAGUUGGCAAGGAUGAGCUCUAGUUUUGAGGCUACGACCUCGAUCAGUUCAUUCGUACUGUGGAGCAAGCGUUGUAUCCCUUCCUCUCUAGGUCAGCUUUGAAGAACUUAAGAGUGAAGGUAGCAGCAACAAGCAUGGAGGGCAGAGUGCGUCCUCAGCAUCCUUUAAAUGUAGGCCAAAAGUCAAGGCAAGGACGAAGUUCAGAAAUAGGAAAGACUAUCAAUUUGUUACUAUUGAAAUAUAGACUAAACAAAAAUUAAUGGUACAAUUUAAAUCUCUUGAUUUGGAUUUGGCUAAGUUGAAUGAAAAUUCAUUUGUAGAUGAGAAUUUUCUU